GGGAUUGCCUUAGUAACGGCGAGUGAAGCGGCAAAAGCUCAAAUUUGAAAUCUGGCACCUUCGGUGUCCGAGUUGUAAUUUGAAGAAGGUAACUUUGGGAUUGGCUCUUGUCUAAGUUCCUUGGAACAGGACGUCACAGAGGGUGAGAAUCCCGUGCGAUGAGAUGACCAAUCCUAUGUAAAGUGCUUUCGAAGAGUCGAGUUGUUUGGGAAUGCAGCUCUAAGUGGGUGGUAAAUUCCAUCUAAAGCUAAAUAUUGGCGAGAGACCGAUAGCGAACAAGUACAGUGAUGGAAAGAUGAAAAGAACUUUGAAAAGAGAGUGAAAAAGUACGUGAAAUUGUUGAAAGGGAAGGGCUUGAGAUCAGACUUGGUAUUUUGCAUUCCUUACCUUCGUGGUGGGGUUCCUUGCAGUUUACUGGGCCAGCAUCGGUUUGGAUGGUGGGAUAAUGACAUUGGAAUGUGGCUCUGCUUCGGUAGAGUGUUAUAGCCAGUGUUGAUACCGCCUGUCUAGACCGAGGACUGCGUCUUUGACUAGGAUGCUGGCAUAA
rnacentral:rRNA from 1 species